rnacentral:lncRNA from 1 species
ACCAACAACAUCACCUUCUAAACAAAAGUUCACUUUUAAAGUCACCAAAACUUAAGCAUUUUCAACUAAUAAAGUCACCAACCACAUCACCUCCUAAACACUAAUUCACUAUUAAAGUCACCAAAACUUAAGCAUUUUCAACAAAUAAAGUCACCAACAACAUCACCUUCUAAACAAAAGUUCACUUUUAAAGUCACCAAAACUUAAGCAUUUUCAACUAAUAAAG